GUAAGUACAAAAUUAUGAAAAUUACAUAGCGUAGGACUUAAAAUCCUGUGGGAGCCUGCUCCCGUGCCGGUUCGAUUCCGGCCCCGGGCACCA
rnacentral:tRNA from 1 species